GGCUCAGAUUGAACGCUGGCGGAAUGCUUUACACAUGCAAGUCGAGCGGCAGCGCGGGGCAGCCCUGGCGGCGAGCGGCGAACGGGUGAGUAACAUAUCGGAACGUACCCAGUCGUGGGGGAUAACUAUCCGAAAGGAUAGCUAAUACCGCAUACGUCCUGAGGGAGAAAGCGGGGGAUCGCAAGACCUCGCGCGAUUGGAGCGGCCGAUAUCGGAUUAGCUAGUUGGUGGGGUAAAGGCUCACCAAGGCGACGAUCCGUAGCGGGUCUGAGAGGACGACCCGCCACACUGGGACUGAGACACGGCCCAGACUCCUACAGGAGGCAGCAGUGGGGAAUUUUGGACAAUGGGGGCAACCCUGAUCCAGCAACGCCGCGUGAAUGAAGAAGGCCUUCGGGUUGUAAAGUUCUUUUGUCUGGGGGCAAAUCUGUGUGGUGAAUAGCCAUGUAGGAUGAGAGUACCAGAAGAAUAAGCACCGGCUAACUACGUG
rnacentral:rRNA from 1 species